GACGUAGGGCGCGAGCGUUGUUCGGAUUUACUGGGCGUAAAGGGCGGGUAGGCGGCCACCGCAAGUCAGUUGUGAAAUCUCUGGGCUUAACCCAGAAAGGUCAACUGAUACUGCGGGGCUAGAGUGCAGAAGGGGCAACUGGAAUUCUCGGUGUAGCGGUGAAAUGCGUAGAUAUCGAGAGGAACACCUGCGGCGAAGGCGGGUUGCUGGGCUGACACUGACGCUGAACUGCGAAAGCUAGGGGAGCGAACGGG
rnacentral:rRNA from 1 species